UACGUAGGGGGCAAGCGUUGUCCGGAUUUAUUGGGCGUAAAGAGCGUGUAGGCGGUUUGGUAGGUCCGCUGUGAAAACUCGAGGCUCAACCUCGAGACGCCGGUGGAAACCAUCAGGCUAGAGUCCGGAAGAGGAGAGUGGAAUUCCUGGUGUAGCGGUGAAAUGCGCAGAUAUCAGGAGGAACACCGAUUGCGAAGGCAGCUCGCUGGGACGUAACUGACGCUGAGACGCGAAAGCGUGGGGAGCAAACAGG
rnacentral:rRNA from 1 species